rnacentral:lncRNA from 1 species
GUCUUUUUAUUUUUUUAAGGGGAGAAAAGAUUUUUUUCUAUCCUGUUUGAGGACCACCCAUGAGCCUUUUUAUUUUGGAUCUCUUAAUCCUGACAGGACAGAGAAAGGAGACAUGUUGCCUUUAGCAGUCCUUUGGACUCUCAUGGGUUUUCCUUCCAAAAGGUCUUUUCUGCUCAGAUACCUUACUCCUCAUACUAUCUCACAAAGAUGUCUAUCGAAUACCCUUCUCAGAUGCUUCAUGAUCAGUGCCUGGAUUUUCAAAGCUUAUGGCCAUCAGAAUGAAAGGUUUGGCAAGUUCUACUCUGUUGGAAAGAUUUCUGAUAUGAACCCAAUUGCCUGUAUCUGUUCUCAGAGGACCAGUGAGCUGUUGAUUGAUUUUUAUUUUUGGACAUAGCAACUCAUUUUAGAGAGCUUGAAAUCCAUUUUCUAACUCUCAAAAGCCCCAUUGAUCUUCCUCUUUAUUGGAUCCCUCUCCCACUACCUUUAGACAUGUCCUCCCUUUUGAAUUCUUUUAAAUUCUAAAUUCUUUUUUUUUUUUUAAAAGAAGAAAAUAAGCCUUUGCUUCACAAAGCUCCAUGACAUGUAGAAAGCUGAUACAAAUCUGUAAGACCCAAACAAUUCAGAGAUUUAGAGACAGAAGGGACCUCA